AUACGUAGGGGGCGAGCGUUGUCCGGAAUGAUUGGGCGUAAAGGGCGCGUAGGCGGCCCGGUAAGUCUGGAGUGAAAGUCCUGUUUUUAAGAUGGGAAUUGCUUUGGAUACUGUCGGGCUUGAGUGCAGGAGAGGUAAGUGGAAUUCCCAGUGUAGCGGUGAAAUGCGGAGAGAUUGGGAGGAACACCAGUGGCGAAGGCGACUUACUGGACUGUAACUGACGCUGAGGCGCGAAAGUGUGGGGAGCAAACAGGAUUAGAUACCCUGGUAGUCCACACUGUAAACGAUGAAUGCUAGGUGUAGGGGGUAUCGACCCCUUCUGUGCCGCAGUCAACACAAUAAGCAUUCCGCCUGGGGAGUACGGCCGCAAGGUUGAAACUCAAAGGAAUUGACGUGG
rnacentral:rRNA from 1 species